UUUGUACUCCCUCCGUUCUGAAUUACUUGUCUUAGAUUUGUCUAGAUACGGAGGUAUCUAGCACUAAAAUAAGUCUAGAUACAUCCGUAUCUAGACAAAUUCAAGACAAGUAAUUCAUACGGAGGUAUCUA
rnacentral:pre_miRNA from 1 species